rnacentral:rRNA from 1 species
AACGAACGCUGGCGGCAGGCUUAACACAUGCAAGUCGAACGCAUCCUUCGGGGUGAGUGGCAGACGGGUGAGUAACGCGUGGGAACGUGCCCUUCAGUUCGGAAUAACCCAGGGAAACUUGGGCUAAUACCGGAUACGCCCUUUACGGGGAAAGAUUGUAUCGCUGAAGGAUCGGCCCGCGUCUGAUUAGCUGGUUGGUGAGGUAAUGGCUCACCAAGGCGACGAUCAGUAGCUGGUCUGAGAGGAUGAUCAGCCACAUUGGGACUGAGACACGGCCCAAACUCCUACGGGAGGCAGCAGUGGGGAAUAUUGGACAAUGGGCGCAAGCCUGAUCCAGCCAUGCCGCGUGAGUGAUGACGGCCUUAGGGUUGUAAAGCUCUUUCGUCCGGGACGAUAAUGACGGUACCGGAAGAAGAAGCCCCGGCUAACUUCGUGCCAGCCGCCGCGGUAACAC